UUCGCCCUUAGAGUUUGAUCCUGGCUCAGGAUGAACGCUGGCGGCGUGCUUAACACAUGCAAGUCGAACGGACUUUACAUGAAGCCUAGCGAUUGUAAAGUUAGUGGCGGACGGGUGAGUAACGCGUGAAUAACCUGCCCUGUACCGGGGGACAACAGUUGGAAACGGCUGCUAAUACCGCAUAAGCGCACGGUUCCGCAUGGAACAGUGUGAAAAACUCCGGUGGUACAGGAUGGAUUCGCGUCUGAUUAGCCAGUUGGUGGGGUAACGGCCUACCAAAGCAACGAUCAGUAGCCGGCCUGAGAGGGUGAACGGCCACAUUGGGACUGAGACACGGCCCAAACUCCUACGGGAGGCAGCAGUGGGGGAUAUUGCACAAUGGGGGAAACCCUGAUGCAGCGACGCCGCGUGAGUGAAGAAGUUAUUCGUAACGUAAAGCUCUAUCAGCAGGGAAGAAAAUGACGGUACCUGACUAGGAAGCCCCGGCUAACUACGUGCCAGCAGCCGCGGUAAUACGUAGGGGGCAAGCGUUAUCCGGAUUUACUGGGUGUAAAGGGAGCGUAGACGGCACAGCAAGUCUGAUGUGAAAGCCCGGGGCCCAACCCCGGAACUGCAUUUGGAACUGUAGAGCUAGAGUGUCGGAGAGGCAAGUGGAAUUCCUAGUGUAGCGGUGAAAUGCGUAGAUAUUAGGAGGAACACCAGUGGCGAAGGCGGCUUGCUGGACGAUAACUGACGGUGAGGCGCGAGAGUGUGGGGAGCAAACAGGAUUAGAUACCCUGGUAGUCCACACUGUAAACGAUGAAUACUAGGUGUGGGGGGAUUGACCCCUUCCGUGCCGGAGUAAACACAAUAAGUAAUCCACCUGGGGAGUACGACCGCAAGGUUGAAACUCAAAGGAAUUGACGGGGGCCCGCACAAGCAGUGGAGUAUGUGGUUUAAUUCGACGCAACGCGAAGAACCUUACCAGGUCUUGACAUCGAGUGACAGUCUAAGAGAUUAGGCUUUCCCUUUGGGGACACAAAGACAGGUGGUGCAUGGUUGUCGUCAGCUCGUGUCGUGAGAUGUUGGGUUAAGUCCCGCAACGAGCGCAACCCUUAUCAUUAGUUGCUACGCAAGAGCACUCUAAUGAGACUGCCGUUGACAAAACGGAGGAAGGUGGGGAUGACGUCAAAUCAUCAUGCCCUUUAUGACCUGGGCUACACACGUACUACAAUGGCGUUUAACAAAGAGAAGCAAAGCCGCGAGGCAGAGCAAAUCUCCAAAAAACGUCUCAGUUCGGAUUGUAGGCUGCAACUCGCCUACAUGAAGUCGGAAUUGCUAGUAAUCGUAGGUCAGCAUACUACGGUGAAUACGUUCCCGGGCCUUGCACUCACCGCCCGUCA
rnacentral:rRNA from 1 species